rnacentral:pre_miRNA from 1 species
AUUUUAGUUGUAAUUUUGAUGUGGCUGUGGGAAGUGGCAAGUACAUGCAUUUUCCCAUGCUACCAUCUUGGUUCCCUUGCUAAGUU